UACAGAGGUCUCAAGCGUUGUUCGGAUUCAUUGGGCGUAAAGGGUGCGUAGGCGGCGGGUAAGUCGGUGUGAAAUCUCGGGGCUUAACUCCGAAACUGCAUUCGAUACUGCGUGCUUGAGGACUGGAGAGGAGACUGGAAUUAUCGGUGUAGCGGUGAAAUGCGUAGAUAUCGUAAGGAAGACCAGUGGCGAAGCGGGUCUCUGGACAGUUCCUGACGCUGAGCACGAAGGCCAGGGGAGCAAAACGGG
rnacentral:rRNA from 1 species